AGGCUAUGUUGGCCGGGCGACGGUUGUCCCGGUUUAAGCGUGUAGGCUGGUUUUCCAGGCAAAUCCGGAAAAUCAAGGCUGAGGCGUGAUGACGAGGCACUACGGUGCUGAAGCGACAAAUGCCCUGCUUCCAGGAAAAGCCUCUAAGCAUCAGGUAACAUCAAAUCGUACCCCAAACCGACACAGGUGGUCAGGUAGAGAAUACCAAGGCGCUUGAGAGAACUCGGGUGAAGGAACUAGGCAAAAUGGUGCCGUAACUUCGGGAGAAGGCACGCUGAUAUGUAGGUGAAGCGACUUGCUCGUGGAGCUGAAAUCAGUCGAAGAUACCAGCUGGCUGCAACUGUUUAUUAAAAACACAGCACUGUGCAAACACGAAAGUGGACGUAUACGGUGUGACGCCUGCCCGGUGCCGGAAGGUUAAUUGAUGGGGUUAGCGGUAACGCGAAGCUCUUGAUCGAAGCCCCGGUAAACGGCGGCCGUAACUAUAACGGUCCUAAGGUAGCGAAAUUCCUUGUCGGGUAAGUUCCGACCUGCACGAAUGGCGUAAUGAUGGCCAGGCUGUCUCCACCCGAGACUCAGUGAAAUUGAACUCGCUGUGAAGAUGCAGUGUACCCGCGGCAAGACGGAAAGACCCCGUGAACCUUUACUAUAGCUUGACACUGAACAUUGAGCCUUGAUGUGUAGGAUAGGUGGGAGGCUUUGAAGUGUGGACGCCAGUCUGCAUGGAGCCGACCUUGAAAUACCACCCUUUAAUGUUUGAUGUUCUAACGUGGGCCCCUUACCGGGGUUGCGGACAGUGUCUGGUGGGUAGUUUGACUGGGGCGGUCUCCUCCUAAAGAGUAACGGAGGAGCACGAAGGUUGGCUAAUCCUGGUCGGACAUCAGGAGGUUAGUGCAAUGGCAUAAGCCAGCUUGACUGCGAGCGUGACGGCGCGAGCAGGUGCGAAAGCAGGUCAUAGUGAUCCGGUGGUUCUGAAUGGAAGGGCCAUCGCUCAACGGAUAAAAGGUACUCCGGGGAUAACAGGCUGAUACCGCCCAAGAGUUCAUAUCGACGGCGGUGUUUGGCACCUCGAUGUCGGCUCAUCACAUCCUGGGGCUGAAGUAGGUCCCAAGGGUAUGGCUGUUCGCCAUUUAAAGUGGUACGCGAGCUGGGUUUAGAACGUCGUGAGACAGUUCGGUCCCUAUCUGCCGUGGGCGCUGGAGAACUGAGGGGGGCUGCUCCUAGUACGAGAGGACCGGAGUGGACGCAUCACUGGUGUUCGGGUUGUCAUGCCAAUGGCACUGCCCGGUAGCUAAAUGCGGAAGAGAUAAGUGCUGAAAGCAUCUAAGCACGAAACUUGCCCCGAGAUGAGUUCUCCCUGACUCCUUGAGAGUCCUGAAGGAACGUUGAAGACGACGACGUUGAUAGGCCGGGUGUGUAAGCGCAGCGAUGCGUUGAGCUAACCGGUACUAAUGAACCGUGAGGCUUAACCUUACAACGCCGAAG
rnacentral:rRNA from 1 species